GGGGAAUUAGCUCAGUUGGCUAGAGCGUCUGCUUUGCACGCAGAAUGUCAAGGGUUCGAGUCCCUUAUUCUCCACUA
rnacentral:tRNA from 1 species